rnacentral:piRNA from 1 species
UAAAUAAGGCCGAAUUGUGACUU